AUAUGUGACCGGGGCUACAAGGUCACAAACAGACCCACAAGUGCUCGCCUUCAUGGAAAGGAUACUACAAGUGUUAAAUAGCAUAAAGCACACCCAGCAAGCCCAUUUGCAAUAUUUCAACGAGCUGCUAAGUAAUGCCGACAGUGCAGCUCCGCACCCUCAUGGCCUCCCAGACCUGCCUUUCUCGAAUGUGGCGGAUGUUCUCGCGUAUGAGGAGAACCUCGAGACAGACAGACAGCCAAGCUGAUGAUCAAAUGAAAAAGUACAUGGCUGUACAAGAGGGAGAUUCGACGAAACAGAGAAGAACACGUGUACUGCAGUCCCUCCUCAGCUGGAAUUCUGCAGUGGGCUUCAGUUGGUUUGGCACAAAGGGAAAAAAAGAAUCUGUGAACUGCUCCUCUGCAAGCUGAUGUGCGGUGAGUCAGGUGUAGCAAGCUUGAUAUAACUUGUUUUUUUGUGAAAUCUUAUGUCAAGCAGUAUACUCAAUAUAGCUAGGUUGUCUAUUUAUACUUUGGUGCAAUUAGUCCUGGUAUUUACUUUCAGUUUUUAAGUGUGUAGUACUUUCGGGGCCCGGGCUGCCGUAUGCUGUCAUCGCUUAGCAUAAUGCAGGCAAAACCACGUAUAACAUAGCCAUCUGUAGCGUAAUGAGCGCGUGCUCGCACCAAGGAGGUCUUCUUCUUGUUCUUCGAGCGGCUUGAUGAUGAUAUUAAGUGUGGAGCACAUUUGGGGCCCGGGCUGUCAUAUGCUGCCAUUGCUUGGCAUUACGCAGGCAGAACCAUGUAAAAAAAAUAGAAAAAAGAGGAGGCAAGUGAGAAAUAGAGAGAAAGAACAGGAAAAGGUAGAAAGAAGAUUAGAAAUAGAAAGAAAUAGAUAAAGAGAGA